rnacentral:rRNA from 1 species
UGGGGAAUAUUGCACAAUGGGGGAAACCCUGAUGCAGCGACGCCGCGUGAGUGAAGAAGGUUUUCGGAUCGUAAAACUCUGUUGGUAGAGAAGAACGUUGGUGAGAGUGGAAAGCUCAUCAAGUGACGGUAACUACCCAGAAAGGGACGGCUAACUACGUGCCAGCAGCCGCGGUAAUACGUAGGUCCCGAGCGUUGUCCGGAUUUAUUGGGCGUAAAGCGAGCGCAGGUGGUUUAUUAAGUCUGGUGUAAAAGGCAGUGGCUCAACCAUUGUAUGCAUUGGAAACUGGUAGACUUGAGUGCAGGAGAGGAGAGUGGAAUUCCAUGUGUAGCGGUGAAAUGCGUAGAUAUAUGGAGGAACACCGGUGGCGAAAGCGGCUCUCUGGCCUGUAACUGACACUGAGGCUCGAAAGCGUGGGGAGCAAACAGGAUUAGAUACCC